GAUGAACGCUAGCGGCAGGCUUAAUACAUGCAAGUCGUGGGGCAGCGCAGUGUAGCAAUACAUGGGCGGCGACCGGCAAACGGGUGCGGAACACGUACACAACCUUCCUUUUAGUGGAGAAUAGCCCGGGGAAACCCGGAUUAAUACUCCGUAACAUUUCGAAAUGGCAUCAUUUUGAAAUUAUAGCUCCGGCGCUAGAAGAUGGGUGUGCGGCUGAUUAGGUAGUUGGCGGGGUAACGGCCCACCAAGCCUACGAUCAGUAACUGGUGUGAGAGAAGGACCAGUCACACGGGCACUGAGACACGGGCCCGACUCCUACGGGAGGCAGCAGUAAGGAAUAUUGGUCAAUGGACGAAAGUCUGAACCAGCCAUGCCGAGUGGAGGAUGAAGGUCCUCUGGAUUGUAAACUUCUUUUCUCUGGGGCGAAAAAAGGGCUUUCUAGCUCACUUGACAGUACCAGAGGAAUAAGCACCGGCUAACUCCGUGCCAGCAGCCGCCGUAAGAC
rnacentral:rRNA from 1 species